GCCAGACUCCUACGGAGGCAGCAGUGAGGAAUAUUGGUCAAUGGGCGCGAGCCUGAACCAGCCAAGUCGCGUGAGGGAAGACGGCCCUACGGGUUGUAAACCUCUUUUGCCGGGGAGCAACGGGCGCCACGUGUGGCGCCACUGAGAGUACCCGGAGAAAAAGCAUCGGCUAACUCCGUGCCAGCAGCCGCGGUAAUACGGAGGAUGCGAGCGUUAUCCGGAUUUAUUGGGUUUAAAGGGUGCGUAGGCGGACUGUUAAGUCAGCGGUAAAAUUGAGAGGCUCAACCUCUUCUCGCCGUUGAAACUGCGUUUCUUGAGUGGGCGAGAAGUACGCGGAAUGCGUGGUGUAGCGGUGAAAUGCAUAGAUAUCACGCAGAACUCCGAUUGCGAAGGCAGGAUACCGGCGCCCAACUGACGCUGAAGCACGAAAGCGUGGGUAUCGAACAGGAUUAGAUACCCUCGUAC
rnacentral:rRNA from 1 species